rnacentral:misc_RNA from 1 species
CUUGAGCUGAGCCUCUUUGUGCUGAAGCUCUUGUUCCAGUUUUUCAUUAAGAUCAUGAAGACUAGUUGAUUCUCUUUGAGCAUUGAGAUACCGUUUUUCUAGGGUGGUAAUUCUCUCCUCUUGGUCUUCUUUCUGCGCUACGUUUUCCCGCAAAUCUCUCUGUAGUUUGACGUUACUUUCCUGAGACUUCAAAAGUUCUUUUUGCGCCUUUGACAAGGUUUCUUCAAGUUCUGCUACACGUCCACUCAUUUCUGCCACUCGACGCUGCCAUGUACUCAAUUCUGUGCUCUGGCUUUGUGAUGCUCGAAGAGGCUUUUCAGUGCUUUGAGGACUUCCACCUCCGAUGAUACACCUGAUUGUGCAGCUGCUUGUCGUUUGACAACGGUCAUCCUCAGCGAACGUUCGUGCCUCGACACCAGACAUUCUAGAUGUUCUAAUAAAAGC